UUGUUUACAUUUUAUUAGUGAAUAAGCAUAGUUUUAUUCUUUCACUCCAGAACUGAGUGGUGUUUUUUUUUUUCUUUCUUUUUACCAGGUCCCCAUAUAUGGCCUUAAAGACAGGUUUCAGGACCCAAAUCUGGAAGACACCAUCAUGGAUGUUGACCAGGUCCCCAUAUAUGGCCUUGAAGACAGGUUUCAGAACCUGAAUCUGGAAGACACCAUCAUGGAUGUUGACCAGAUCCCAGUUGACCUGCAUGCUGAUCCCAGCGAACCUGGUCAGAAGUUCAGGACAGAAACAUCAGACUGUCCAGACUCCUCAUUUUUCCUCCCCUCCCACCACCCAAUCCAAUUGAACCCUUAAUUAACCGCCAAAAUAAAUUGAAGAAUUUUAUACUGAAUCUUGUGAGUUUUAUUACAUGAUUGUGUACUGGUGCAGCCAGUGCUAAAAAAAAUCUAAAUGGCACCACAAUAUUAAUUACCACACCUUUGCAGAUGACUUGCAAUUAUAUUUUUCUUUGGACAAGCGUGCUGCAUGGGACAGUUUAAACAUAUGCUUAAAUGAAGUGAAGGUAUGGCUUGCAAGCAAUUUUCUGCAAUUAAAUGAAAAUAAAACUGAGAUUAUGGUUUUUGGAAACAAACAAUGGGAAAUCUGUUUGUGAGUGAGGAUUUUGCCCCAUAACCGUAAAUGGUUAUGUUAGGAACCUGGGUGUCAUUUUUGACACAACUUUGUUUUGACCGACAAGUAAAUGCUGUCGUGAAAUCAUCCUUUUAUCAGUUAAUUAAGGAAGUUGUCCAAGUUGAUAUCUAUUCUUUCCAGAAAAGAUUUGGAAUCUGUUGUUCAUGCUUUUAUUUCUACGAGGUUGGACUAUUGUAAUGCCCUAAACCUGGGGUUGAAUGCAUCUCUUAUAGCUCGACUUCAGUUCUGUUCAAAAUGCUGCUGUUAGGCUUUUAACUGGCACUAAGAAGAGGGAUCACAUAACACCUGUGUUCAUUUCUUUACAUUGGCUUCCGGUGUUAUAUAGGAUAGAAUAGAAGGUCCUGUUUACUAUAUACAGUAAGUAUAAGGCCUUACAUCGACAGGCUCCUGACUACAUCAAAGCUAUGUUGAGCCCUUGCAAAACUUCUUUCUCUUUGAGAGCAGAUGUGCAUAUGUUGUUGACUGUUCCGCGAACACGAUUGAGGAGGAUCGGAGAUCGUGCACUCUCCGUGGCAGCUCCUGUGUUAUGGAACG